CUUGUGUUGUAUGCCAGGAGAACCACGCCAUUUGUCAGCCAGCAGUUUAACAGCGGGUGCGGUGUUGGGAAUCCGCCACACCGGCUCCCACCCCGUCACCGCAGGGCAAGCAGAGAGUUUGGCCGGGUUGCCCUGUCGUGCACUUUCAAGCCAACAGGAAGGAUCAAGGCAUCGUCAGGCACGUUGUCACGGAGCAGAAUCUGAACACUAAACUAAAUGACAUCUCAGAGGUAUUUAACAGCCAUUCUCUAUCAGAUUUUAAUAAACAUAAUAAUUAAGCUAUUCGGCUACAGUGACUGUGGGCCUACGUGAGAACACACACUUAAGCCAUAUUGCUAAAACAUUA